CCCUCCUUGCAAGGCUUUUGAAGGAUUUUUGGAUCUCUGAAUUCUCAGAUCUCUAAAUUCCUCGAAUUUAUUCGAUGGUUCCUAGAGGACCAAAACAUAUCUUGAGAAGAUGGGGUUUAGAUAUAUGGCAGAUUGGCUUUAGUGCAAAUAGGAGAUUAUUAGAUAUAUGCCCUAGAAGGCAAUCGGACCGACACAUUUAUUCUUUC
rnacentral:lncRNA from 1 species